UACGUAGGUGGCAAGCGAUACUCGGAAUCACUAGGCGUAAAGCGCAGGUAGGCGGCUUGAUAAGUCUUUUGUGAAAGCUCCUGGCUUAACUGGGAGAGGUCAAAGGAAACUGUCAGGCUAGAGUUUGGUAGGGGAUACUGGAAUUCCUGGUGUAGCGGUGAAAUGCGUAGAUAUCAGGAGGAAUACCUAUGGCGAAAGCAGGUAUCUGGGCCACAACUGACGCUGAGCUGCGAAAGCUAGGGGAGCAAACAGG
rnacentral:rRNA from 1 species